rnacentral:rRNA from 1 species
CCUACGGGUGGUUGCAGUGAGGAAUAUUGGUCAAUGGGCGCGAGCCUGAACCAGCCAAGUCGCGUGAGGGAGGACGGCCCUACGGGUUGUAAACCUCUUUUGCCGGGGAGCAACGGGCGCCACGUGUGGCGUCACUGAGAGUACCCGGAGAAAAAGCAUCGGCUAACUCCGUGCCAGCAGCAGCGGUAAUACGGAGGAUGCGAGCGUUAUCCGGAUUUAUUGGGUUUAAAGGGUGCGUAGGCGGCCUUUUAAGUCAGCGGUGAAAGUCUGUGGCUCAACCAUAGAAUUGCCGUUGAAACUGGGAGGCUUGAGUAUGUGUGAGGCAGGCGGAAUGCGUGGUGUAGCGGUGAAAUGCUUAGAUAUCACGCAGAACCCCGAUUGCGAAGGCAGCCUGCCAAGCCAUGACUGACGCUGAUGCACGAAAGCGUGGGGAUCAAACAGGAUUAGAUACCCGUGUAGUC